rnacentral:rRNA from 1 species
AUAUCAAUAAGUGGAGGAAAAGAAACUAACAAGGAUUCCCCUAGUAACGGCGAGUGAAGCGGGAAGAGCUCAAAUUUAAAAUCUGGCAGUCUACGAUUGUCCGAAUUGUAAUCUCGAGAAGUGUUUUCCGCGUUGGCCUGUGUACAAGUCCCUUGGAACAGGGCGUCAUAGAGGGUGAGAAUCCCGUCCUUGACACAGACACCCAAUGCUUUGUGAUACACUCUCAAUGAGUCGAGUUGUUUGGGAAUGCAGCUCAAAAUGGGUGGUAAAUUCCAUCUAAAGCUAAAUACUGGCGAGAGACCGAUAGCGAACAAGUACCGUGAGGGAAAGAUGAAAAGCACUUUGGAAAGAGAGUCAAACAGUAC